GAUGAACGCUAGCGGCAGGCUUAACACAUGCAAGUCGAGGGGCAGCGCGAUGUAGCAAUACAUUGGCGGCGACCGGCGCGCGGGUGCGUAACACGUAUGGAACUUACCCUUUACUGGGAGAUAGCCCGGAGAAAUCCGGAUUAAUAUCCCAUAAUAAACGAAGUGGCAUCACUUUGUUUUGAAAGCUCCGGCGGUAAAGGAUGGCCAUGCGCACGAUUAGCUAGUAGGUGAGGUAACGGCUCACCUAGGCUACGAUCGUUAGGGGGCCUGAGAGGGUUAUCCCCCACACUGGUACUGAGACACGGACCAGACUCCUACGGGAGGCAGCAGUGAGGAAUAUUGCGCAAUGGAGGCAACUCUGACGCAGCCAUGCCGCGUGCAGGAAGAAGGCGCUACGCGUUGUAAACUGCUUUUAACCGGGAAGAAACCCUCCGACGUGUCGGAGGUUGACGGUACCGGAGGAAUAAGCACCGGCUAACUUCGUG
rnacentral:rRNA from 1 species